rnacentral:rRNA from 1 species
GACGAACGCUGGCGGCGUGCUUAACACAUGCAAGUCGAACGGAAAGGCCCUGCUUUUGUGGGGUGCUCGAGUGGCGAACGGGUGAGUAACACGUGAGUAACCUGCCCUUGACUUUGGGAUAACUUAAGGAAACUGGGGCUAAUACCGCAUAGGAGCUCCUGCUGCAUGGUGGGGGUUGGAAAGUUUCGGCGGUUGGUGAUGGACUCGCGGCUUAUCAGCUUGUUGGUGGGGUAGUGGCUUACCAAGGCUUUGACGGGUAGCAGGCCUGAGAGGGUGACCGGCCACAUUGGGACUGAAAUAAGGCCCAGCCUACUACGGGAGGGAGGAGUGGGGAAUAUUGCACAAUGGGCGGAAGCCUAAUGCAGCAAAGCCGCGUGCGGGAUGACGGCCUUCGGGUAGUAAACCGAUUUCGCCUGUGACGAAGCGUGAGUGACGGUAAUGGGUAAAGAAGCACCGGCUAACUACGUG